rnacentral:rRNA from 1 species
AUCAGGGAUAUUGCGCAAUGGGGGAAACCCUGACGCAGCGACGCCGCGUGCGGGACGAAGGCCUUCGGGUCGUAAACCGCUGUUGUGGGAGACGAGUGCCCGGUGAUGAGCCGGGAGAGACGGUAUCUCACAAGGAAGCCCCGGCUAACUACGUGCCAGCAGCCGCGGUAAUACGUAGGGGGCGAGCGUUGUCCGAAGUUACUGGGCGUAAAGCGCGCGUAGGCGGCUCCUUAAGUGACUGGUGAAAUCCCCGGGCUCAACUCGGGAGGGUCUGGUCAUACUGGGGAGCUAGAGUGCGGGAGGGGAGAGCGGAACUCCUGGUGUAGCGGUGAUAUGCGUAGAGAUCAGGAAGAACACCCGUGGCGAAGGCGGCUCUCUGGACCGUGACUGACGCUGAGGUGCGAAAGCCAGGGGAGCGAACGGGAUUAGAAACCCGGGUAGUCC